rnacentral:rRNA from 1 species
UGGGGAAUAUUGCACAAUGGGCGCAAGCCUGAUGCAGCCAUGCCGCGUGUAUGAACAAGGCCAUCGGGUUGUAAAGCACUUGCAGCGGGGAGGAAGGGAGUAAAGUUAAUACCUUUGCUCAUUGACGUUACCUGCAGAAGAAGCACCGGCUAACUCCGUG